AAACCAUAUAGGCUUAUAGCUAUUUAUAAUGUUAUAUGCUUUUGGACUCUUUUACUCUAAAAUCAUAUAGUACUAAUAUCACAAGAGUUUUAGAUAGUCAUUUUAUUACAUUUGGCAUUACUUGACAGUAUGUAGGAUAGAUUUUUAAAUUAUAUUUUUGUAAAAUGUGCUGAGAAGCUACUUAAUGUUCACAGUUUGUCCAGUCCAGUUUAUUUACCCGGUCUUGAACGAUGGCAACCUUUGGAAGCCAGAUAUCUGAUGUUGGUUUAUGGUUGAUGUGAUGAGCACUUGUCUGUAUUAGGGUUGUCACGAACACUUAACAAAUGGCAUUCAUAUUAGUAUUAGCCUCCAGCAAGAUUUUAAUGAAAACUACAUGGUGACAUCAUAGCAUUGAUUAUACACGUAUAGCGUUUUCUUUCUAGAGUUUAUUUUGACAAUGAACUGGGCUACGUUCUUGCAGCCAAAUUGAAAGCUACCAACGUCUUUAACGAGAAUACAUGCAAUAGGGCCAUCCGAUAUGCCUUCGGCUAACCUAUCUUUUAAAAAGGGCCUUCUGCAACGAUAAACACGACCCGUACUGAUGGAAGAUUAAAUACAUCACUUGCAGAUUAUCGCAGUUAACAUUACUAGCGUGAAAAAUGCGGUUUAGUUACGUUAGCCACACUGCAUUAUGAUCAUUGUACUACGCAUCGUCAAAAUUCUGUGAUGGGGAAAAUCGCUUGUCGCUAAACUAGGCUAAAACUACUAGUGUUAGGCUGUAUAUGGGUGAGCUUAGAGGGGUUCAUGUUUAUAAUCACAUUUGCUAACCUGUAGUUCUUUGAACUCUCUGAAAAGUUCGGGUGUCUGUCUGAGAGGUGCUUAGCCAUAUUUGACGUGUUGCCUCCCUUUGCCAGAGUGACUUUGAAGCAUGUUUUACAGAUGGGUCCCUGUGUGUCGAUGGGCUUUCCUUCACAUUCUGCUUCGUAUCCGAAGUACUUCCAGAUCUUAUUUCUGACAUACAUUAUUUUUAAUACAAGCCGAGGACGGUCGACAAGAGCUCCUGCACAUGAGGCCAUGUCUCCCCUGAGAUCACUCGCAGUGUGUGAGAGCUGGGAAGCCCCGCCCUUGCAGUCAAUGCGUGCAGGUAGCCUGACACUGACAGGGAGCGGAACAGUGAGUGGGCUCUGUUUGCGAGCUAUUUUAAUGAAGUACCUAUACUAAAAAUAUGCAAAUCCGUAUCGUUUUUUACGUAAG
ensembl:lncRNA